ACUUCCUAUUAUCUGUCAGGUGUUUUGCGUGUAUGCGUGUGUGCAUUGGUUUGUUUACUGGCUCACUGUUCGAUCUGUUGCGUCGUAACCACGCGGUUUUACCCCAAUUGCUCUAAGGAAAUUGCACAUCCGUGCGUGGACCUAUCGGUUUACUACCACGAUUCCUCCCUUAGGCCAACAAUUCCUAGGAAUUGUUACACGCCACUACAACUAUAUCCCCUAUUUCUGUCGGCCGCAUCGGUUCGGACCGCUCGGUUCUGUGGUGAAGUGUAGAAACCCAUCACGCUUGAACGCCUUUUUGUUGUAGGGCAAAUUGACGCUGUUGUACCGCCACAAAGGUCCCAUUUCGUAUCGCUGUCCGUUCGUUUCCCGCUCCAAUAUCGCCAACGCUCUUUCGUCGUCCCUAGGCCGCAACGGCCGCACUGCUUUGUCCGACGCGGAGUUACAAGAGAGGUCGUGAAACGCGCGGCCCGAGAAGGACCGGUUUGAAGGACUCGGCUUUGCACUCGCAACCGAGCAAGGCCCAUAGACAACCCAUCCAAGGCGGGUUUUCGAAGCGACCGGUUCUUUGCAGCUUGCAUCCACGGUCUUGAGGGUUCGCGUUAUGUUGCAGUUGUCUAUGCCUAUGAGGAUGCGGGGCACGGCGUAAGCGUAGGAUUCGAACUGGAGACCUCUCAGAUGAGUAUAGCGUGCAGUCAGUUGUGCUACGUUUACAGAUUGUUCCGGAAGGGCAAGCUCUUUGACCGUGUGUACUUCUGAUAGUUUGUAUAUCGCAUGUGACAUGUUUCUACCCGAUAUGCGCACCGAUAGCCUUACGGAGUCUUGUUCUUCUCUUGUCACGUCUCCCGUCCAUUGUAGACACAACGGGUACGGUGUCCCUGUAACUCCAAGCUCCUGUGCUAGUCCGUGCUCCAUAAACGUGGAAGUAGAGCCGUCAUCUAAAAAGGCGAACGUAUCUAUUCGCCCCCUGGGCCCGUGCAGCGUAACGGGUACGUAUUUUAAAAGCGAAGAGUCUUUCGGUCCUGAAUGGGUAAGAACGUUAGCGACACCAGUGUACACGACCCUACCUAAGCCAUUUAGAUGAUCGCGCUGGUGAGGGCUGGCUGGUGUCUGGUCAUUCACGUGGAGCAGCUCAUGGUGUUGUCUGUUGCAUCCGUUCACCGCGCACGGUGCUCUUACGCUGCAACCACCUCUAUGGUAUCCGAGGCAUUUCCGGCAUAUCCUGCGUUCACUUACAAACGAUCUUCUGGCGGCAACCGUUGUCCUUUGGAACUGCUCACACUGGACCAGAGUGGGACAAUCCCUGCCGCACAAGGGGCAGACAGUCAACAAUUCUGGUGCAUUUUGCGAUGAAGAUGGAUCACCAAGAUUCUCAUCCUGCAAUACCGUUGCGUUGCAGUAGGCUAGAUGAACCCGCCCAGUACCGAUCGGUGGCCGUCGAUCGAGUUGCGCUGGCGGGGCACGAUGGGGUUGAAACCGUUGAGGCUGGGUGCGGCUGUAAUGAGUUGGCGGUUCUGGUUGUUGAUGAGUUGAGUCGCUAUUUUCCAUCACGGACAUCACGUCGACAACACCACAGAGAUCUUCUGCUAAGUCACCAACCCAUUUUCCAAACUCCAACAGCGUCACUUCCGAAAGUUUACUCCUCGUUCUCGCCCAGUCGAUGCAUAGGACGGGGGGUAGUUUCCUGACUAACUCCUUGAGUAACGCCACGUCGUACAUGUACCCUCGUAACCCGGAGGCCGUCAUCGCUCCUACCAACCGCUUCACCGCAUAUCCAAACUCUACGACCGUUGACAACCUUUCAAUCUUCGGUGGUGCCAUUUUUCUGAUCUUCUCGGUCAUGGACUCCACAAUCAGAUCUGGUCUGCCGAAACGCGCCUUUAGGGUCGCCAUCACCUCAUUCAACCCGUCCGGGAAGUACAAAAGGUGGCCUACCGCUUCGAACGCCGCUCCUCUCAACGCAUAUUGUAGACGGCCGAUGUUUUCGUCAUCGGUGUAACCACAUGCAGUGUUAGUGCGGUUAUACGUGGCUAUGAAAAGCGACCACACUUCUGGUUCCCCGGAAAAGACCGGAAGGUCCCGGGGCACCGGUUGACGAGCAGCUAUCUGGCUCUGACUCAGUGUGCUGGUGUUGAAAUGUGGUUGCACAUAUUCGUGUUGUGGUAGUAUCGUGUGAGCCGAAUGUGUAUGCGAAGUGUACGUCGGGUGUGUCUGUAUAGUGUGCGCUGAGUGAGAAUGUGUCGCGUGAGGAAGAGUUUGUGUUGCGUGUGGAUGCAUCCUUUGUGACGGUAGUGUAGCGUAGGUCGACGCAAUCGCGGGGCUCGGUUGAGGGAGUUGGGGUUGCUCAGCAGCGGCGCGUUGCCCGAGGUCGUUGCCCCCUGAAAUUUGGCCUUGCGUAAGGGCUUUUCCCGCCGGGUAUAUUCGACGCAAGGAUUCCCCGAAACUCUUCACCCACCCAGCAAACUCCGGAUAAUGUGUCCCCCCAGUGCCGCCGUGGUUGGGAUGCUCAGCGAUGGCCGCCGAGCCAUUUUCGUCUUCUGCAUCCCGUAGCAUCUGCAUCUCGUGCUCAAUCUCCUGCAAUCGUCGUCUUCGCGAUUCGCGAAUGUCAUCGCGGCCCUGGUUCGCACCGUGGUUUAAUGAGUGGAACGGUGAACUUAUCCCCUUACUCUGCCCCUCUUUGCGAAGUACCGCAACGUUCGUUGCGGUGGCAUCGCUCCUCGGGGUGCUUCCUUCCGUCGUUACAGUGCUCGAUGUUCCCGGGGAGGAUGGAUCGUACCUGGGCCCGCCAGAGACGUUACCGCUUUCCUGCGGCGUUUCCGGACUCGCUGGUAGGUUUUGCGCCACCCGAAGCGUACGACGCAUUUUACGUUGGUUUAUUUUCCCGUUCCACUAUAUAUCACUUGCGCGCGCGACUUACUGUGCUUUCCGCUCUGCGAAACGAGUUUUCGAUCAACUUUAUUGGCUUUUUCGUGCGAAUGCUAAUUUUUUGAAAUGUUGAAAAACGCGGUGGAUUUUUUAGAGAAAACACUUUAUUUACUGUUAUGAGGUUAAAUCAAAAAAUUAGUCCACAUGUACCGAUUGUCGAAUUUCAACUAAAGGCUAGGAGCGGACCAAUCCUCCUCCUUAUCUCCUAAUUUAUAGUUUUUAUCCUCCCUCUCACUCUCUUCUCUGGCGUUGUGACCUGACAGACUGUUGGGCACUCGUGAGUUUCCAACAGCCUCUUAAAAAAUACAACUUGAGCGAUUUAAAAAUCAAAUUGCGCUUGUGAAAAAUAGCAUCGGUGCGGUGAAGUAACAACU